rnacentral:rRNA from 1 species
CGCUAUGCAUGCAAGUCGAACGGGCAAAGGGGCUUCGGCCCCGGAGCUAGUGGCAGACGGCUGAGUAACACGUAAGUGAUCUGCCCCGGAGCGGGGGAUAAUCCGGAGAAAUCCGGUCUAAUACCCCGUACGUUCAUAUGGUCAAGGCUAUAUGAAGAAAGGUUUCGACCGCUCUGGGAGGAGCUUGCGGCCUAUCAGGUAGUUGGCGGGGUAAUGGCCCACCAAGCCGAAGACGGGUAACCGAUGUGAGAGCAUGAUCGGUCAGAGGGGGACUGAGACACGGCCCCCACUCCUACGGGAGGCAGCAGCAGGGAAUCUUGCGCAAUGGGCGAAAGCCUGACGCAGCGACACCGCGUGGGGGAUGAAGGCUUUCGAGUUGUAAACCCCUUUUCCCGGGGAUGAGAAAGGACAGUACCCGGGGAAUAAGCAUCGGCUAACUACGUGCCAGCAGCCGCGGUAAUACGUAGGAUGCAAGCGUUGUCCGGAUUUACUGGGCGUAAAGGGUGUGUAGGCGGCAUGUUAAGUCUCAUGUGAAAUCUCCCGGCUCAACUGGGAGCGGUCAUGGGAAACUGGCAAGCUUGAGUACAGCAGAGGGGAGUGGAAUUCCCGGAGUAGUGGUGGAAUGCGUAGAUACCGGGAGGAACACCAGAGGCGAAGGCGACUCCCUGGGCUGUGUCUGACGCUGAGGCGCGAAAGCGUGGGUAGCAAACCGGAUUAGAUACCCGGGUAGUCCACGCCCUAAACGAUGGAUACUAGGUAUGGGGGGUAUCGACCCCCUCCGUGCCGUAGCUAACGCAUUAAGCACUCCGCCUGGGGAGUACGGCCGCAGGGCUAAAACUCAAAGGAAUUGACGGGGGCCCGCACAAGCAGCGGAGCGUGUGUUUCAAUUCGAUGCAAAGCGAAGAACCUUACCUGGGCUUGACAUGUACGAAGUAGGAACCCGAAAGGGGGACGAUCUGUCAAGUCAGAAACGUAC